GCGGCAAGAGCUCAAAUUUGAAAGCUGGCUCCUUCGGGGUCCGCAUUGUAAUUUGUAGAGGAUGCUUCGGGAGCGGUCCCCAUCUAAGUGCCCUGGAACGGGACGUCAUAGAGGGUGAGAAUCCCGUAUGGGAUGGGGUGUCCGCGCCCGUGUGAAGCUCCUUCGACGAGUCGAGUUGUUUGGGAAUGCAGCUCUAAAUGGGUGGUAAAUUUCAUCUAAAGCUAAAUAUUGGCCGGAGACCGAUAGCGCACAAGUAGAGUGAUCGAAAGAUGAAAAGCACUUUGAAAAGAGAGUUAAAAAGCACGUGAAAUUGUUGAAAGGGAAGCGCUUGCGACCAGACUCGCUCGCGGGGUUCAGCCGGCAUUCGUGCCGGUGUACUUCCCCGCGGGCGGGCCAGCGUCGGUUUGGGCGGUCGGUCAAAGGCCCUCGGAAGGUAACGCCCCUAGGGGCGUCUUAUAGCCAAGGGUGCAAUGCGACCUGCCUAGACCGAGGAACGCGCUUCGGCUCGGACGCUGGCAUAAUGGUCGUAAACGACCCGUCUUGAAACACGGACCAAGGAGUCUAACAUCUACGCGAGUGUUCGGGUGUCAAACCCGUGCGCGAAGUGAAAGCGAACGGAGGUGGGAACCCUCACGGGUGCACCAUCGACCGAUCCUGAAGUCUUCGGAUGGAUUUGAGUAAGAGCGUAGCUUUUGGGACCCGAAAGAUGGUGAACUAUGCCUGAAUAGGGCGAAGCCAGAGGAAACUCUCGUGGAGGCUCGUAGCGGUUCUA
rnacentral:rRNA from 1 species